UCCCGGAAACGGUGGGCACAGAGGACCGGAAAUGAGGUCAUCUUGCCCCACGCAAAAGAAAACAAAAAUGGCGAACCAAGCGAGAGGGACAUUCAACGCACUGGAAGCAACAUUUGGAUUUGCCCUUCAAAGGUAUCUUCCAGAACCCAGGUGAACAUUUAUGGCUGCACACAGAAUGUGGUGGCUAUGCAUAUUCAAUGAGAAAAAUUAAAAUAAAUGUAAAGCAAUUAUUUUUGUAUAACAUUUUAAAUUGAAAUGGCUCCCAUAACAACCGGUCCAUGUACAAAGGUUUCUGAAUACUUUGGUAAGACAAACAUCUAAUGAAGAUAUAAGAGCAAAGUCCUUUUCAUUUGCAUUCUGAAUAUUGGGAUUUCUUCCUCAAGGACACUUUCUGUGCAUCACUGUUCUAUGCUUUUCAGAGUGUCAGAUGCCAGAUGAAAAAGCUUCAUUUUAUGGGGAAUUCAAGUUGAUUUCAAACAUUGCAUUUUAGUUUGAACUGGUUCAUGAGUUUGUGGUUUUUUUAAUGCCACUGAUAUUUGUGAAUUGAUGCAUUGUUAUAUUUUAAGGCCAAUUCAAUAAUUUUAUCAUUCUAUUCCACUCAAAACCCACUUUUGUUGGAGAGCACCAAUAUCUGAUUUUUAAAAUAACCCAAAAUACCAUCUAAUUAUGAAGUUAUGUGUCAUGACUUACCUGGAAGAAUUUGUUAUUCCAGAAGGUCAUCUCUUCAUAAAUAGCAAUAUUGUGAUUUUUUGCAGAGUGAAAGUUCACUUCCCCAACUUUCACACUGAGAAGGGAGUUAUUGGGGAACAGGACCCAAUUUAAAAUAUCGUAAGUUACCAUGUGUCCAAUCCCAUCAAAAAUGGCAUCUUCCACCGUAGUUUUGUUGUAAAAUAUAUUUUUUACGAACCAGUGCAUCUGAAUAUAAUAAAGAAUAUAAGUAUG